rnacentral:lncRNA from 13 species
GAGCCUCAUGUGUUUGUCAUGGGGUCCAUGGUGGCUGUGGGCAAGGAGGACCCUGGUCAACUGGAGAAAUGGAGGCACCUUCCCUGGGUCGUUUCCCAGAGGCCUUGCAUUUUCAUGCUAGAAAAGCUGAGACGUGAACUUGAUCAACAAUUCCUGGAGUCCCACGGGGAGAGUCCUAACAACUGCCUGGUCACUCCAGUUUUGCUGAGAACCAGCUACAUGGCCUUAGACAAGCCCCAGACCUUCUCCAGGCUUCAGCUUCCAAGUGUGUAUCAUGACGGGGUUGGAUUUUUACAAGAUCAUCUUGAAGGCCUUCGUUAACAUUCUGUGAUAUACCUGAUGCUCCCCCUCCCCAGACACCCUCAUGGAGCUCUAAGGAGUCAAAGCUUAGAUGUAACGUCCCGUCUGGGCACGGUGGCUCAAGCCUGUAAUCCCAGCACUUUGGGAGGCUGAGGCGGGUGGAUCACGAGGUCAAGAGAUUGAGACCAUCCUGGUCAACAUGGUGAAACCCCGUCUCUACUAAAAAUACAAAAUAUUAGCUGGGCAUGGUGGUGCGUGCCUGUAAUCCCAGCUACUCAGGAGGCUGAGGCAGGAGAAUUGCCUGAACCCAGGAGGUGGAGGUUGCGGGAAGCCGAGAUCGCGCCAUUGCACUCCAGCCUGGGUAACAAGAGUGAAACUCCGUCUCAAAAAAAAAAAACAAAAAGACGUAACAUCCCCUCUGGGGUUCCAGGUGCAGCGAGAGGUCUCCAGUGUUAGUUAGAAGGGCUAGCGGCACAGCCUACUAUGAAGAUUCUAAGUGCCUACUCAGCAAGGGCUUUUCCUGAGGUUGCAAUAAGCUCCUGGAUCAGGUUAACUCUUCUGCAAGGCAGAGCAGCUUCCAGACCUCACUUCAUCGUCACAAUAAGAAAAUGACAGCCUGUGCAACAAAGUGAGAUCCCAUCUCUACAAAAUUUUUAAAAAUUCAAUUCAAUUCAUGGUGGUGUGUGCCUAUAGUCCCACUUAUUUGGGAAGCUGAGGCAAGAGGAUUGCUUGAGCCCAGGUAUUCAAGUCUGCAAUGGAGCUAUGAUUGUGCCACUGCACUCCAGCCUAGGCAACAGGGCAAGACCUUAUAAAAGAAGAAUAAGGAGAAAGAGAAGGAGAAGGAGAAGGAGGGAAGGAAGGAAGGAAGGAAGGAAGGAAGGAAGGAAGGAAGGAAGGAAGGAAGGAAAGAAGGAAGGAAGGAGGAAGGAGGGAGGGAGGGAGGGAAGGAAGGAAGGAGGGAGGGAGGGAGGGAGGGAGGGAGGGAAGGAAAGAAGGAAGGAAGGAAGGAAAGAAUGAAGGAAAAAGAAAAGAAAAGACACAACAUUCUCUCGAGAUUGCUAAUAAAAUUGUCCCCAUCACACA